rnacentral:rRNA from 1 species
AUUGAACGCCGGCGGCAUGCCUUACACAUGCAAGUCGAACGGCAGCACGGGAGCAAUCCUGGUGGCGAGUGGCGAACGGGUGAGUAAAGUAUCGGAACGUGCCCAGUCGUGGGGGAUAACGUAGCGAAAGUUACGCUAAUACCGCAUACGAUCUAUGGAUGAAAGCGGGGGAUCGCAAGACCUCGCGCGAUUGGAGCGGCCGAUAUCAGAUUAGGUAGUUGGUGGGGUAAAGGCUCACCAAGCCGACGAUCUGUAGCUGGUCUGAGAGGACGACCAGCCACACUGGGACUGAGACACGGCCCAGACUCCUACGGGAGGCAGCAGUGGGGAAUUUUGGACAAUGGGCGAAAGCCUGGUCCAGCCAUGCCGCGUGCAGGAUGAAGGCCUUCGGGUUGUAAACUGCUCUUGUACGGAACGAAAAGGUUUGGCCUAAUAAGCUGAGCUCAUGACGGUACCGUAAGAAUAAGCACCGGCUAACUACGUGCCAGCAGCCGCCGUAA